rnacentral:rRNA from 1 species
AUGUUAUUUAUGUUUUAUUCAGCUUUGAACUCAUCACUUAUUUCUGGGCUCCUGAACUCAAUUAGGCACCUCAAUGAGACUAACUUCCUACAUGAAAGGAGCAGAUUUCCAUUAACCUUGGGGUCAUGGAUCUUGACUACGCACUUAGGAAGAAGGCUCCAGUUCCCUUGUCCUCUGAUGAUGAAAACCUUGCUGAGAAAACUAAGGUUUAUGAGGCUAACAAGGAGAAGUGGGAGCCCUCCAAUCGAUUGUCCCUCAUGA